rnacentral:rRNA from 1 species
CUACGUGCCAGCAGCCGCGGUAAUACGGAAGGUCCGGGCGUUAUCCGGAUUUAUUGGGUUUAAAGGGAGCGUAGGCCGGAGAUUAAGUGUGUUGUGAAAUGUAGACGCUCAACGUCUGACUUGCAGCGCAUACUGGUUUCCUUGAGUACGCACAACGUUGGCGGAAUUCGUCGUGUAGCGGUGAAAUGCUUAGAUAUGACGAAGAACUCCGAUUGCGAAGGCAGCUGACGGGAGCGCAACUGACGCUUAAGCUCGAAGGUGCGGGUAUCGAACAGGAUUAGAUACCCUGGUAGUCCGCACAGUAAACGAUGGAUGCCCGCUGUUGGUACCUGGUAUCAGCGGCUAAGCGAAAGCAUUAAGCAUCCCACCUGGGGAGUACGCCGGCAACGGUGAAACUCAAAGGAAUUGACGGGGGCCCGCACAAGCGGUGGAGCAUGUGGUUUAAUUCGAAGCAACGCGAAGAACCUUACCAGGUCUUGACAUCCC